rnacentral:rRNA from 1 species
CUUCACGAAUCGCAUGGUCUUGAACCGGCGAUGUUUCAUUCAAAUUUCUGCCCUAUCAACUUUCGACGGUAGGGUAGUGGCCUACCGUGGUGGUAACGGGUGACGGAGGAUUAGGGUUCGAUUCCGGAGAGGGAGCCUGAGAAACGGCUACCACAUCCAAGGAAGGCAGCAGGCGCGCAAAUUACCCAAAUCCCAACUCGGGGAGGUAGUGACAAGAAAUAACGAUGCUCCGGCCUCACGGUCGGGUAAUCGGAAUGAGAACAAUUUAAAUCCCUUAUCGAGGAUCAAUUGGAGGGCAAGUCUGGUGCCAGCAGCCGCGGUAAUUCCAGCUCCAAUAGCGUAUAUUUAAGUUGCUGCGGUUAAAAAGCUCGUAGUCGGAUUUCGGGUGGCGCCUACCGGUCCGCCUUUGGUGAGUACUGGUAGGUGCCACCUUUCUGCCGAGGACGGGGUACUGGGCUUAAUUGUCUGGGCCCCGGAGUCGGCGAUGUCACUUUGAGUAAAUUAGGGUGUUCAAAGCAGGCUUAUGCUCUGUAUACACUAGCAUGGGAUGACACGAUAGGACUUCGGUUUAUCUUGUCGGUCUGUAAAUCGGAGUAAUGAUUAAGAGGGACAGUCGGGGGCAUUCGUAUUUCGUAGUCAGAGGUGAAAUUCUUGGAUUUACGGAAGACGAACUUCUGCGAAAGCAUUUGCCAAGGAUGUUUUCAUUGAUCAAGAACGAAA